rnacentral:lncRNA from 1 species
CCCACACCUAGAAUGGGUCUGUGACACUGGACAACUUCAGCUGUCCACCUGUCUCCCUGCACUCCUCUCUCUUUGGAAGCCUCUGCCCAUGGACUUGACUAUAAAGGAUGACAGAGGGCACAGAAGCCACCAGCAGAUUCUUUGGAAGGAAGUAACAGGAGUGGAACUUCAUUUUCCCAUGGAUUGUAAAGGGCUGGGCUCCCUUCCACCUCUUCUCACUGGCCUCCUGUUUGUACCCCUGACCUCUCCGGGAUCUGGAUCCCAACACUGUCUUCUGCAAUGAAAACCCUGAUUUUCUAUAUCUGGACAAAAGACUAGGACAUAACGAGAAUUUUAGCGGAAGGAACUGAGGGAGAGAGAUUGCACAGCAGACAAGGACAAAUAAAGGGAAGGUGGAAACAAGGGU